GGUGCCGUAGUAUAGUGGUUAGUACUUCACGUUGUGGUUUAUCUAACAGUAAACUCCGUGAGAACACGCGUUCGAUUCGCGUCGGCGCCA
rnacentral:tRNA from 1 species